UUAAGUUAUUAAGGGCGCACGGUGGAUGCCUUGGCACUAGAAGCCGAUGAAGGACGUUACUAACGACGAUAUGCUUUGGGGAGCUGUAAGUAAGCGUUGAUCCAGAGAUUUCCGAAUGGGGAAACCCAACAUGAGUUAUGUCAUGUUAUCGAUAUGUGAAUACAUAGCAUAUCAGAAGGCAGACCCGGAGAACUGAAACAUCUUAGUACCCGGAGGAAGAGAAAGAAAAAUCGAUUCCCUGAGUAGCGGCGAGCGAAACGGGAAGAGCCCAAACCAACAAGCUUGCUUGUUGGGGUUGUAGGACACUCUAUACGGAGUUACAAAAGUAUAUAUUAGACGAAUCAUCUGGAAAGUUGAAUCAAAGAAGGUAAUAAUCCUGUAGUCGAAAAUAUAUACUCUCUUGAGUGGAUCCUGAGUACGACGGAGCACGUGAAAUUCCGUCGGAAUCUGGGAGGACCAUCUCCUAAGGCUAAAUACUCUCUAGUGACCGAUAGUGAACCAGUACCGUGAGGGAAAGGUGAAAAGUACCCCGGAAGGGGAGUGAAAGAGAACUUGAAACCGUGUGCUUACAAGUAGUCAGAGCCCGUUAAUGGGUGAUGGCGUGCCUUUUGUAGAAUGAACCGGCGAGUUACGAUUUGAUGCAAGGUUAAGCAGCUAAUGUGGAGCCGUAGCGAAAGCGAGUCUGAAUAGGGCGUUUAGUAUUUGGUCGUAGACCCGAAACCAGGUGAUCUACCCUUGGUCAGGUUGAAGUUCAGGUAACACUGAAUGGAGGACCGAACCGACUUACGUUGAAAAGUGAGCGGAUGAACUGAGGGUAGCGGAGAAAUUCCAAUCGAACUUGGAGAUAGCUGGUUCUCUCCGAAAUAGCUUUAGGGCUAGCCUCAAGUUAUGAUUAUUGGAGGUAGAGCACUGUUUGGACGAGGGGCCCUUCUCGGGUUACCGAAUUCAGACAAACUCCGAAUGCCAAUCAAUUUAACUUGGGAGUCAGAACAUGGGUGAUAAGGUCCGUGUUCGAAAGGGAAACAGCCCAGACCACCAGCUAAGGUCCCAAAAUAUAUGUUAAGUGGAAAAGGAUGUGGCGUUGCCCAGACAACUAGGAUGUUGGCUUAGAAGCAGCCAUCAUUUAAAGAGUGCGUAAUAGCUCACUAGUCGAGUGACACUGCGCCGAAAAUGUACCGGGGCUAAACAUAUUACCGAAGCUGUGGAUUGUCCGUAGGACAAUGGUAGGAGAGCGUUCUAAGGGCGUCGAAGCAUGAUCGCAAGGACAUGUGGAGCGCUUAGAAGUGAGAAUGCCGGUGUGAGUAGCGAAAGACGGGUGAGAAUCCCGUCCACCGAUUGACUAAGGUUUCCAGAGGAAGGCUCGUCCGCUCUGGGUUAGUCGGGUCCUAAGCUGAGGCCGACAGGCGUAGGCGAUGGAUAACAGGUUGAUAUUCCUGUACCACCUAGUAUCGUUUUAAACGAUGGGGGACGCAGUAGGAUAGGCGAAGCGUGCUAUUGGAUUGCACGUCCAAGCAGUAAGACUGAGUGUUAGGCAAAUCCGGCACUCAUAAGGUCAAGCUGUGAUGGGGAGAGGAAAUUGUUUCCUCGAGUCGUUGAUUUCACACUGCCAAGAAAAGCCUCUAGAUAGAUAACAGGUGCCCGUACCGCAAACCGACACAGGUAGUCAAGAUGAGAAUUCUAAGGUGAGCGAGCGAACUCUCGUUAAGGAACUCGGCAAAAUGACCCCGUAACUUCGGGAGAAGGGGUGCUCUUUAGGGUUAACGCCCAGAAGAGCCGCAGUGAAUAGGCCCAAGCGACUGUUUAUCAAAAACACAGGUCUCUGCUAAACCGUAAGGUGAUGUAUAGGGGCUGACGCCUGCCCGGUGCUGGAAGGUUAAGAGGAGUAGUUAGCUUCUGCGAAGCUACGAAUCGAAGCCCCAGUAAACGGCGGCCGUAACUAUAACGGUCCUAAGGUAGCGAAAUUCCUUGUCGGGUAAGUUCCGACCCGCACGAAAGGCGUAACGAUUUGGGCACUGUCUCAACGAGAGACUCGGUGAAAUCAUAGUACCUGUGAAGAUGCAGGUUACCCGCGACAGGACGGAAAGACCCCGUGGAGCUUUACUGUAGCCUGAUAUUGAAAUUCGGCACAGCUUGUACAGGAUAGGUAGGAGCCUUUGAAACGUGAGCGCUAGCUUACGUGGAGGCAUUGGUGGGAUACUACCCUAGCUGUGUUGGCUUUCUAACCCGCACCACUUAUCGUGGUGGGAGACAGUGUCAGGUGGGCAGUUUGACUGGGGCGGUCGCCUCCUAAAAGGUAACGGAGGCGCUCAAAGGUUCCCUCAGAAUGGUUGGAAAUCAUUCAUAGAGUGUAAAGGCAUAAGGGAGCUUGACUGCGAGACUUACAAGUCGAGCAGGGUCGAAAGACGGACUUAGUGAUCCGGUGGUUCCGCAUGGAAGGGCCAUCGCUCAACGGAUAAAAGCUACCCCGGGGAUAACAGGCUUAUCUCCCCCAAGAGUUCACAUCGACGGGGAGGUUUGGCACCUCGAUGUCGGCUCAUCGCAUCCUGGGGCUGUAGUCGGUCCCAAGGGUUGGGCUGUUCGCCCAUUAAAGCGGUACGCGAGCUGGGUUCAGAACGUCGUGAGACAGUUCGGUCCCUAUCCGUCGUGGGCGUAGGAAAUUUGAGAGGAGCUGUCCUUAGUACGAGAGGACCGGGAUGGACAUACCUCUGGUGUACCAGUUGUCGUGCCAACGGCAUAGCUGGGUAGCUAUGUAUGGACGGGAUAAGUGCUGAAAGCAUCUAAGCAUGAAGCCCCCCUCAAGAUGAGAUUUCCCAACUUCGGUUAUAAGAUCCCUCAAAGAUGAUGAGGUUAAUAGGUUCGAGGUGGAAGCGUGGUGACACGUGGAGCUGACGAAUACUAAUCGAUCGAAGACUUAAUC
rnacentral:rRNA from 1 species